rnacentral:rRNA from 1 species
CCGAAUAUUGCGCAAUGGGCGCAAGCCUGACCCAGCAACGCCGCGUGAGUGAAGAAGGCUUUCGGAUUGUAAACUUCUGUCGUCAGGGAAGAAUAUAAGACUGUCCCUGGAGAAUACUCCAGGGCUAUCUAUGUCCCAGCACCCGCGGUAAUACUUAGGUGGCAAGCGUUCCCGAAUUUACGUGGGUGUAAGGGGCCUGUGCCCGUGCUGGCAUCUUCAUAUGUUAAAUCUGGAGGCUCAACCUCCCAACGGCAUAGAAACUGUUUUUCUUAGAGUCUCGGAGAGGCGAGCGGAAUUCCUAGUGUAUCGGUGAAAUGCGUAGAUAUUAGGAGGAACACCAGUGGCGAAGGCGGAUUGCUGGACGACGACUGACGAUGAGGCGCGAAAGCGUGGGGAGCAGACAGCAUUAGAUACCCUGGUAGUCCACACUGUAAACGAUGAAUAAUAGGUGUUCGGGUGACUGACCCCCUGCGUGCCGCAGUUAACACAAUAAGUAUUCCACCUGGGGAGUACGGUCGCGAU